AGUCGGGUCACAGUCUUAUUUUCCCCGAGCUGUGGUCGGUCCUGAGGUUGCCCACUUGGGGGUUCUGAGAAGCCUUGGUUUUGAGCGCUUGGAACACACGGCUGCAAUCAAGACGGUUCACAGUUAGCUUGUGAGGUCCCCGGACCUGCACUGCAGGUCACGGAAGUUACUGCCCAUGGCGGACAGUGGGACUGGACUGUAAGAAAGAUGUUAUUUAAUCUGUUUCCAUAUUUUGAUACUUGAAUUCCCCUUUUGUUUUACUGUACAUAAAAUUGUUAGUCUGUCCAAUUUUGUUUGAAUUAUAAACACCUUGUGGUACCAAACGUAACCAAUCUGUGCAUCGGUGUAGACUGACCUCACUGCAGAGUGCGCACGCCCUGGGCUUCCAGCUCGGUUUCUUACGUAGCUGUGACCCAGCUAAUAAAGGAGGGUAGAAACCGGU
rnacentral:lncRNA from 1 species